rnacentral:rRNA from 1 species
AAAAUAUAAAUUAUAUAUAUAUAUAUAUAUAUUAAAAGAUUUUAAUUAAAAUAUUAUUUAUUUUAGUUUUAAAAAAAUUAUUUUUUAUGAUAGAGUAUAAGUAUUGUGAAAGAAAUUUUAUUUAUUAUUUAUCAGAAAAAAUUAUUUUUUGUACCUUGUGUAUCAGGGUUAAUUAAAUAAGUUUUAUUUAUAUAAAUUUCUCGAAUUUAAAAGAUUUAUGAGUAUAUACUUAUUAUUGUAAAAUAAAUAUUAUAUAUAUAUUUAUAGAAGUGAAAUGCUAUUCGAUUUUAAAUAUAUCUAGUUUUUAAAGAAAAAAAUUUAAUUUUAUUUAUAAAAAAUAAUUUUUUUAUUUUUAAAAAAUUAUUUUUAUAAUUAUAUGUAUAUAGGGUUGAGCUUAUGUAUUAAAUUGUAAAAUUUUAUAAUUAUAUGAAUAAAUUUAUAGAAUUAAAAGUUUUCAUUUUUAUAGUUUUAUUACUUUUUUAUUUAAUUUUAUUAUUUUUAUAUUAUUUACUUUUUUUAUUUAAUUUAAAUUUAAAAUUUUUUAGGAUUUAUAAUAAUGAUUAAAUUAGUAUAAAAUUUAGUUUAAUUUUAUUAAAUUAUAAAGGUUAAAUAAAGGAAUUCGGCAAAUAAUUUUUUCACCUGUUUAUUAAAAACAUGUCUUUUUGAGUAUAAUUUAAGGUCUGACCUGCCCACUGAUUAUUUAAAUGGCCGCAGUAUUUUGACUGUGCAAAGGUAGCAUAAUCAAUAGUUUUUUAAUUGAAAGCUGGAAUGAAAGGUUGAAUGAAAAAAAAGCUGUCUCUAUUUAAUUUAAUUAAAAAUUUAUUUUUAAGUUAAAAAGCUUAAAUAUUUAUAAAAGACGAGAAGACCCUAUAGAGUUUAAUAAUUAUUUAAUUUAAAUUUUUUAAGUAUUAUUUAAUAGUUAUAUAAUUAUUUAAUUGGGGUGAUUUAAAAAUUUAGUUAACUUUUUAUAUUGUUGUACAAUAAUGAUUGAUUGAAGGAUCCUUAUUUAAAGAUUAAAAGAUUAAAUUACCUUAGGGAUAACAGCGUUAUUUUUUUUUAGAGUUCAAAUUAAAAAAAAAAAUUGCGACCUCGAUGUUGGAUUAAAAUUUAUAUUUGGUGUAGAAGCUAAAUUAUUAAGUCUGUUCGACUUUUAAAAUUUUACAUGAUCUGAGUUUAAACCGGUGUGAGCCAGGUUGGUUUCUAUCUUUAUAAAAUAAAAUAUUUUAGUACGAAAGGACCAAGUAUUUAAUUAAUAAUUUAUUAAUAUGAAUAUUAUUAAUAUAAA